AAAAGCAGGGGAUCGCAAGACCUUGCGCUUUUGGAGCGGCCGAUGUCUGAUUAGCUUGUUGGUGAGGUAAAGGCUUACCAAGGCUUCGAUCAGUAGCUGGUCUGAGAGGACGACCAGCCACACUGGGACUGAGACACGGCCCAGACUCCUACGGGAGGCAGCAGUGGGGAAUUUUGGACAAUGGGGGAAACCCUGAUCCAGCCAUGCCGCGUGAGUGAAGAAGGCCUUCGGGUUGUAAAGCNCUUUCAGCCGGAACGAAAAGGUUACGGNUAAUACCCGUGACUAAUGACGGUACCGGAAGAAGAAG
rnacentral:rRNA from 1 species